rnacentral:rRNA from 1 species
UACGUAGGGUGCGAGCGUUGUCCGGAAUUACUGGGCGUAAAGAGCUCGUAGGUGGUUUGUCGCGUUGUCCGUGAAAACUCACAACUCAAUUGUGGGCGUGCGGGCGAUACGGGGCAGACUGGAGUACUGCAGGGGAGACUGGAAUUCCUGGUGUAGCGGUGAAAUGCGCAGAUAUCAGGAAGAACACCCGUGGCGAAGGCGGCUCUCUGGGACGGUACUGACGCUGAGACGCGAAAGCGUGGGGAGCGAACAGG